CACACUGUCUACUUAGUUGCACUAUGUAAAUGCAGUCAAAACACUGGUGGAGAAGCAUCCCUGUUUGUGUGAACCAGGGUCUGAGAAAGGAUGGUACUCAUGGUUUCACAGCCUGAAAUUUAAGCUUGGAAACUACCGGCAAAAGUUAAGUGCAGCAGCAUGCCCUGAAGUUACCAUAAAUAAAAGAAAAACUUGAGGUUCAAGGGGAAGAUGUGUCAAGAAGUCAAAGAAGGGUGAGGUAAACUACUGUCCUGAUCCACCUGAAGGACAAAAUCCUGAAAGAAUGGAGGAGAAGUGCAAGAUAAUGGAGACUGAAAUGCAGAAGAAAGACCUGAUCACCAGCUGCUAGAGGAUCUGAUGGUUUAUACAUUUUCUGAGCGUAGAAAAUAAAUCAUUGGAGAUGAACCUCACAUCACAAUUUCCCGAUGGCCAGCUCUGUUUCAAGAGAAACAGAUUAGGGCAGAAUUUAAGAGGAUCGUUACCACAGACCUUGUGGUAUCCUUUCUUGGCGGACUUGAUGGCCUGGUCGCAAAGUCUGGAAAGAAGCAAUCGCUCAAAGACAUUCUGGACUGCCUUGAGAAAGAUGACACAAACGAGAGGAGAAGGGCUGCUGCUCUGCUUGGUCUGCCACACUACAUGUCAGGAGAAGAUCCAUCAGAUGUUUUUUAAAGUGUUUAACAGAGACGUUAGCACCUCGACGUUAAACACUUUAAAAAACUCUGAAA